AUGCAUAAGGCGAAGAAAGAGUGCUUGCCUAUGUCACAUGGCAUUAGUCUCAGAAAGACUCGGACUCCCGCAACUUUUGACGAGCGAAGUCACAUGGAUGCGAUUUUGUAUGCUUCAGUUGUCGGGUCCGUCAUGUAUGUUAUGUUAUAUACAAGACAAAAUAUUUCUUAUAGUCUAAGUAUUAUAAGCAAAUAUCAGGCUGAUCCAGGUGAGUGUCAUUGGAUGACAGAUAAAAAUAUUCUUACGUAUUUGAGCAGGACUACGGAUAAGUUGUUGGUUUAUGAUGGUGAGGGAGGGCUCGUUGGAAAGGAUUAA
rnacentral:rRNA from 1 species